rnacentral:rRNA from 1 species
GUGUCAGCAGCCGCGGUAAUACGUAGGAUGCGAGCGUUGUCCGGAAUUAUUGGGCGUAAAGCGAACGUAGGCGGUUACUUAAGUCUGGACUUAAAGACUGAGGCUCAACCUCAGGAGUGGUUCGGAUACUGGGUGACUAGAGGAUGUCAGAGGAAAGUGGAAUUCCAAGUGUAGCGGUGAAAUGCGUAGAUAUUUGGAGGAACACCAGUGGCGAAAGCGGCUUUCUGGGACAUUCCUGACGCUGAGGUUCGAAAGCUCGGGGAGCAAACAGGAUUAGAUACCCUGGUAGUCC